GUGGUUGCAUAAGUUUUGAUGCUUCUGGGAUCCAGGACCUGCAGUAUGUUAUAAGGCCCAAAAAAGCAUGGAGAGUCUGAUGUGUUGCAGGUAGAGGGAGUAGCAGAAUGGCUUGCACACGUUGGGAAGUCAGAUGUUUGGUGCCAUGGGAAAGGCAGUGUCCCAAGAAGACCACAGAUGGCCGGCACCAUUGUAGUUUUGAUUUUGAAGCUUUGCAACCUGCUGCAGCGAGGAAACACAGGAGGUCUUCUGAGUCACGCUCUGCAGUGAGCAAAUCAGGAGCACAGAGAAGUAGAUCAUCAACAUAUUGAAGUAGAACAACAUCCAGAUGAGAUUUCUGCCAGGGAUCCAGAACAAGAGACAUGGCAUGAGCAAACUGUGUGGGAGAGUUCUGAGCACCCUGUGGCAUAACAGUCCAGGUAUAUUGUUGCCCUUCAUGUGUGAAAGCAAA